GAUGAACGCUGGCGGCGUGCUUAACACAUGCAAGUCGAACGGACCGAUUUCGGUCGGUUAGUGGCGGACGGGUGCGUAACACGUAGGUGACCUGCCCUGGAGUGGGGAAUAAUUCCGCGAAAGCGGGACUAAUACCGCAUAUGCUCAUUGAUUCAAUUGGAUGAGUAAAGCAGCAAUGCGCUUCAGGAUGGGCCUGCGGCGGAUUAGCUAGUUGGUGGGGUAAAGGCCUACCAAGGCGAUGAUCCGUAGGGGGCGUGAGAGCGUGACCCCCCACAUUGGCACUGAGACACGGGCCAAACUCCUACGGGAGGCAGCAGUGAGGAAUAUUGCACAAUGGGCGCAAGCCUGAUGCAGCAACGCCGCGUGAGGGACGAAGGCCUUCGGGUCGUAAACCUCUUUUCUGAGGGACGAGACAAGGACGGUACCUCAGGAAUAAGUCUCGGCUAACUACGUGCCAGCAGCCGCGGUAAAACGUAGGAGGCGAGCGUUAUCCGGAUUUACUGGGCGUAAAGCGCACGCAGGCGGCUCGGCAAGUUGGGCGUUAAAGCUCCUGGCUUAACUGGGAGAGGUCGUUCGAAACUACCGGGCUUGAGGUUGGGAGAGGGGUGUGGAAUUCCCGGUGUAGUGGUGGAAUGCGUAGAUAUCGGGAGGAACACCAGUGGCGAAGGCGGCACCCUGGCCCACACCUGACGCUGAGGUGCGAAAGCGUGGGGAGUAAACAGGAUUAGAUACCCUGGUAAUCCACGCCGUAAACGAUGUCAACUGGGUGUCGGUGGUGUUACACUAUCGGUGCCGAAGCAAACGCGUUAAGUUGACCGCCUGGGGACUACGGCCGCAAGGCUA
rnacentral:rRNA from 1 species